UUGCCAUCCUACUUCUCAUCCUACGGGCCGCUGGCUCUGACCGUAUAUAAGUGCUCCUCGGUGCGCAGCUGCUCUCCCGUUCCGUGCUCCGAUUGUUUUCCCCUUCACUCUUCGUUUUGCUGCUUCUCGCGAGUCACGAUCUCUCUCCCAGAGAUGGCGUUGGGGAAGAUCAAGGUCGCGAACCCGAUCGUUGAGAUGGACGGGGAUGAAAUGACUCGGGUCAUCUGGAAAUCAAUCAAAGAUAAGCUUAUCUUCCCAUUUCUGGACUUGAAUAUCAAGUACUUUGACUUGGGACUUCCCAAUCGUGAUGCUACAAAUGACAAAGUCACAGUUGAAAGUGCUGAAGCUACUCUUAAGUAUAAUGUUGCAAUCAAAUGCGCAACAAUAACUCCAGAUGAAACUCGUAUGAAGGAGUUCAACCUAAAAUCUAUGUGGAGGAGUCCAAAUGGGACGAUCAGAAACAUUUUGAAUGGCACUGUGUUCAGAGAGCCAAUCAUCUGCAAAAAUGUUCCAAGGCUCGUUCCAGGAUGGACCAAACCCAUAUGCAUUGGAAGACAUGCUUUUGGUGACCAGUACCGUGCAACUGAUACAGUUAUUAAAGGACCUGGAAAGCUGAAAUUAGUAUUUGAGGGGAAAGAAGAGCAAGCUGAGCUAGAGGUUUUCAACUUCACUGGUGCUGGUGGCGUGGCCUUGUCUAUGUACAACACGGACGAGUCCAUUCGUGCUUUUGGUGAGGCUUCAAUGAAUAUGGCUUACCAGAAAAGGUGGCCACUUUACCUUAGCACCAAAAAUACGAUUCUGAAGAAGUAUGAUGGAAGGUUUAAAGACAUAUUUCAAGAGGUAUAUGAAACUGGUUGGAAAUCAAAGUAUGAGGCUGCAGGAAUAUGGUAUGAACAUCGUCUGAUUGAUGAUAUGGUUGCCUAUGCACUUAAGAGUGAAGGUGGUUAUGUAUGGGCUUGCAAGAACUAUGAUGGAGACGUACAGAGUGAUUUCUUAGCUCAAGGUUUUGGAUCUCUUGGAUUGAUGACAUCAGUGCUGGUGUGCCCUGAUGGGAAAACAAUUGAAGCUGAGGCUGCACAUGGCACAGUCACACGUCAUUUCCGGGUUCACCAAAAAGGAGGUGAAACUAGUACAAAUAGCAUUGCUUCAAUCUUUGCCUGGUCACGUGGGCUUGCACACAGGGCGAAGCUAGACAACAAUGGCCAGCUGCUUGAUUUCACUGAAAAACUUGAAGCUUCUUGUAUAGGAACAGUGGAGUCUGGAAAGAUGACUAAAGACCUAGCUCUUCUCAUUUAUGGAUCUAAGGUUACUAGAGAUCAGUAUCUGAACACGGAAGAGUUUAUUGAUGCAGUGGCAGAAGAGCUGAGGGCAAGACUUUCUCGCAAAUCAAAGUUGUAAACCCCUCACACCAUCUACGAUUUAAGCUGAAAUAGUCUUUUGAAAGCUGUCCUUUGAUUCGGCAUCAUUGUGGUCUGAUUAGGCUGGAGCUGUGGAAUAAAGGAUUUUGAUUAUCAUGUUAUGUGGAGGCUAUAUAUCUUCGGACAAUAAUUAGUAAAUCUUUUUGUUAGCCAUCAACUAUAUUAUGGUUCCAAAUUCAUAGUCCAUCAUGUGUGUUGUGCUUAAACUUUUAGUACAUGACACAUUUUUAUCUCAUUUCUGAGCUUAAAUCCACUGCUUGGUUUCAUCUUUCACAAAUAAUUGAUGCACCCUCAAAAUUGAAGAGAUUGCAUU